GACCCCAGGUCAGGCGGGAUUACCCGCUGAGU
rnacentral:rRNA from 2 species